CCUACGGGUGGCAGCAGUGAGGAAUAUUGGUCAAUGGCCGAGAGGCUGAACCAGCCAAGUCGCGUGAGGGAAGACGGCCCUACGGGUUGUAAACCUCUUUUGUCGGGGAGCAAAGAGAGCCACGUGUGACUCAUUGAGAGUACCCGAAGAAAAAGCAUCGGCUAACUCCGGGCCAGCAGCCGCGGUAAUACGGAGGAUGCGGGCGUUAUCCGGGUUUAUUGGGUUUAAAGGGGGCGAAGGCGGAGGUGCAAGUCAGCGGUAAAAUUGCGGGGCUCAACCCCGUACUGCCGUUGAAACUGCAUCCCUUGAGUGCGCGAGAAGUAUGCGGAAUGCGUGGUGUAGCGGUGAAAUGCAUAGAUAUCACGCAGAACUCCGAUUGCGAAGGCAGCAUACCGGCGCGCAACUGACGCUCAUGCACGAAAGCGUGGGUAUCGAACAGGAUUAGAUACCCUAGUAGUC
rnacentral:rRNA from 1 species